UUUAGUUAGAGAAGGUGUUAGUGUGGUGUUUAGUUGACAGAGAAGGUGUUAGUGUGGUGUUUAGUUAGAGAAGGUGUUAGUGUGGUGUUUAGUUAGAGAAGGUGUUAGUGUGGUGUUUAGUUGACAGAGAAGGUGUUAGUGUCCCAGGGUGUGGUGUCUCUCAGUUCUUGCACUCUUCACUCGGGAGGUUUUUGUUGUUGGGGUUGUAAGUGUGAUUAUGCUGAAAGAAGCAGUUUGCAGCGACUUGAUCACACUCACACACUUUGGCCUGGCAUUUAUCAUUGGAUGCUUUGGACACACACACACACACACACACACACACACACACACACACACACACACACA